rnacentral:rRNA from 1 species
GACGAACGCUGGCGGCGUGCCUAAUACAUGCAAGUCGAACGAAGCUGUUUUAACUGGUGCUUGCACCGACUUAAACAACUGAGUGGCGAACGGGUGAGUAACACGUGGGUAACCUGCCCCAAAGCGGGGGAUAACAUUUGGAAACAGAUGCUAAUACCGCAUAACCACAGAAACCACAUGGUUUCUGUGUCAAAGAUGGUUUCGGCUAUCACUUUGGGAUGGACCCGCGGCGUAUUAGCUAGUUGGUAAGGUACUGGCUUACCAAGGCAAUGAUACGUAGCCGAACUGAGAGGUUGAUCGGCCACAUUGGGACUGAGACACGGCCCAAACUCCUACGGGAGGCAGCCGUAGGGAAUCUUCCACAAUGGACGAAAGUCUGAUGGAGCAACGCCGCGUGAGUGAAGAAGGUUUUCGGAUCGUAAAACUCUGUUGUCAGAGAAGAACGUGUGCGAGAGUAACUGUUCGUGCAGUGACGGUAUCUGGCCAGAAAGCCACGGCUAACUACGUGCCAGCCGCCGCAGUAA